GAAAGAGAGCCGUAACACAGGUGCUGCAUGGCUGUCGUCAGCUCGUGUCGUGAGAUGUUCGGGUUAAGUCCCGCAACGAGCGCAACCCUUGUCAUUAGUUGCUACAUUCAGUUGGGCACUCUAAUGAGACUGCCGGUGACAAGCCGGAGGAAGUGGGGAUGACGUCAAGUCCUCAUGGCCCUUAUAGGUGGGGCUACACACGUCAUACAAUGGCUGGUACAAAGGGUCGCCAACCCGCGAGGGGGAGCUAAUCCCAUAAAGCCAGUCGUAGUCCGGAUCGUAGUCUGCAACUCGACUACGUGAAGUCGGAAUCGCUAGUAAUCGUGGAUCAGAAUGUCACGGUGAAUACGUUCCCGGGCCUU
rnacentral:rRNA from 1 species